rnacentral:tRNA from 1 species
GCCCAGGUGGCGGAAUUGGUAGACGCACUAGUUUCAGGUACUAGCGCUGAAAGGCGUGGGGGUUCGAGUCCCUUCCUGGGCACCA